rnacentral:rRNA from 1 species
UACGUAUGGUGCAAGCGUUAUCCGGAUUUACUGGGUGUAAAGGGAGCGCAGGCGGUACGGCAAGUCUGAUGUGAAAGCCCGGGGCUCAACCCCGGUACUGCAUUGGAAACUGUCGGACUAGAGUGUCGGAGGGGUAAGUGGAAUUCCUAGUGUAGCGGUGAAAUGCGUAGAUAUUAGGAGGAACACCAGUGGCGAAGGCGGCUUACUGGACGAUUACUGACGCUGAGGCUCGAAAGCGUAGGGAGCAAACAGG